rnacentral:snRNA from 1 species
GGAUGGGAGGGAAAUCUGGCUGCAACAUCUGUCACCCCGUUGGUUUGGCUGAUCUGUCUGGUUAGAAGGUUGUCCCCUUCCUCCUUCAUGCUCCACGUGUGUCCCUCCCGAAAGCUGUGCACUUGGUCCAAGAGCACAACCUUCCCCAAAUACAGAACCGGUUUCUGGGCAAAGGUAUAUGAGUAGCUUUGCUCCCCUGCUGGAAUCUCCAAACAAGCUUCCGAAUGGAGAUUCCAUCUUCCGUUCAACUUAAGAGUGUAGCUAUUAAGGAGAGAGCAGGAAUAGGAACCUCCUGCAUCUUCUCAGGAGCAAGAGAAUCCCCAUUUACUCACCUGGAUUUGUCU